UACGUAGGGUCAAAGCGUUGUUCGGAUUUACUGGGCGUAAAGGGCGCGUAGGCGGCGUGGUAAGUCACUUGUGAAAUCUCUGAGCUUAACUCAGAACGGUCAAGUGAUACUGCUGUGCUAGAGUGCGGAAGGGGCAAUCGGAAUUCUUGGUGUAGCGGUGAAAUGCGUAGAUAUCAAGAGGAACACCUGAGGUGAAGACGGGUUGCUGGGCCGACACUGACGCUGAUGCGCGAAAGCCAGGGGAGCAAACGGG
rnacentral:rRNA from 1 species